AUGAAGCUCGUAAGUUGGAAUUGUCGGGGCCUUCUCGGUGCCCCGACAGUUCGCUCGCUUCUGGACAUCCAGAGGCAAAAUAAUGCAGAUGCUUUUUUUUUGUCUGAGACGCACUUCAACGAGGAUAAGGCAGAGGCUCUGAUGAGGAGGAUGGGAAUGGAAGGAAGGAUGGAGAGGACGUAUCAUCUCUUGCGCGAUCUCCAUGCUCAGUCCACUCUCCCGUGGGUGGUGAUUGGUGAUUUUAAUGAGAUUCUAUUCUCGUCGAAAAAGGAUGGAGGAGCCCCUCGGCAACACAGUCGGAUGCAAGAUUUUCAGGAUGCGCUUAUGGAUGGUUCCCUCGAGGAUAUUGGCUACCAUGGUGAUAAGUUCACCUUUUGCAGAGGAGAACUAAGGGAAUUGCUCGACCGAGCGGUGUCGAAUGCAGACUGUAUGGAGAUGCACCCAUUAUGCAGAUUGAGUAACUUAAAAAUGGGCAAGUCGGAUCACAGACCUAUCUACUUGGAUACUGAGUAUUUGGCCGGUGUAGCUUCACCGAGCCCUAGUGCUGGUCGCAAGUUCGAAUCAAGAUGGCUAGCAGAAGAAGCGGUUGAGGAAGUGGUAAAAACUGCAUGGCUAAAGGCUGUUACUCGUGGGCUUUGUCCUACGGCCAGCGAUAAACCUGCUGUUGUCCAUAAAGAACUUGAUACGUGGAAUCACAAGGUUUUCAAGGGAACGCGCCAUAGGUUAUGUUGA
rnacentral:rRNA from 1 species